rnacentral:rRNA from 1 species
CCUACGGGUGGCAGCAGUGGGGAAUAUUGGGCAAUGGAGGCAACUCUUACCCAGCAAUGCCGCGGGAAUGAAGAAGGUCUUCGGAUUGUAAAGUUCUUUAAUUGGGGACGAAAAACAUGACGGUAACCAAGGAAUAAGCCACGGCUAACUACGGGCCAGCAGCCGCGGUAAUACGUAGGGGGCAAGCGUUAGCCGGAUUUAUGGGGUGUAAAGGGCGUGGAGGCGGGAGGGCAAAUCCGAUGUGAAACCUCAGGCAUCAACCCUGAGCCUGCAUUUGAAACUGUGUUUCUGGAGUGCUGGAGAGGCAAUCGGAAUUCCGUGUGUAGCGGUGAAAUGCGUAGAUAUACGGAGGAACACCAGUGGCGAAGGCGGAUUGCUGGACCGUAACUGACGCUGAGGCGCGAAAGCGUGGGGAGCAAACAGGAUUAGAUACCCUUGUAGUC